UGGCCAAGGAUGAAAACAAUAAUCUGAUUGCUUGCAUACUAACACCAAUCAGAAGUCUGAUAGGUUAAAGGAUUUUCUGAGGCCA
rnacentral:snoRNA from 1 species